AGCUGAUCACUGGGUGUAAAGCGUGCGCAGGCGGUUUUGUAAGACAGAGGUGAAAUCCCCGGGCUCAACCUGGGAACUGCCUUUGUGACUGCAAGGCUGGAGUGCGGCAGAGGGGGAUGGAAUUCCGCGUGUAGCAGUGAAAUGCGUAGAUAUGCGGAGGAAUACCGAUGGCGAAGGCAAUCCCCUGGGCCUGCACUGACGCUCAUGCACGAAAGCGCGGGGAGCAAACA
rnacentral:rRNA from 1 species